CGUUCCCAUCCCGAACACGGAAGUUAAGCUCUUCAGCGCCGAUGGUAGUGAGGGUUUGUCCCUUGUGAGAGUAGGACGCUGCCAGGC
rnacentral:rRNA from 1 species